CAUUGAAGGGCAAUCUCAUUUAUUCAGAGCAUCAUUUAUUUUCCAGGAGCGAUGCGGUUUUCCAGGCUGAAGAUUUCAAGGCUGUCUUCCUUUGUGAACGCUCUCCCGUGUCCGAUGGUAGAGUUGCACCCCGGGACAUUGGCAGUAGAAGUGCUUUUUCCAAUCAUGCAAUGAGCAGAUAGAAACAAUCUCAUGUGAAAAUGCCUCCUAGAUCACAGGUCCACUUCUACUCCAAAUAUAGAGUAGCUACAAGUCCAGUAAAGGCCCAGCUGGGCAGCCUUGAUACUUGAUCUCCAUCCAUAGCAGCUCUUGAAGGACCCCGGAUGAGAUGAAGAGGUGACUUGUCAGGCAGCAGGACACUGGUGAAUCAGACCCAGUCGCUGAGGGUGAGCCGGGAGCUGAUUAUACAUGGGUAACAACACUUAAUGCUGAUGUCUAGCAGGCACUUUCAAGAAACAGUAUCAUACUCUCCGCUAACGGAAUAACCUUUGUGCCAAGACAGGAAGGAGGUUUGACCUGGGGCUUUGCAGGUGAAUUACUGAGAACGCCUCUGCCCCUUUGCAAAAGGGAGAAGUUCAGGGACAGGUAACACGUGCCUCACUCCACACCUGGCUUGCUUUCCCCUUGCCAGCUCCAUCGAACUGGACGACUGGCUGGCUUUUUCAUGAUGAACAGCAUCAGCGUGACAGCCCCCCUCCAGGAUGGCAGCAGCGAGAUGAAUGGGGUGCAGUGGUGAACCCAGCAGGUGUGCAGAUUCCCAGAGGCAGCAGAGCCUGGCAAUCAAGAAUAAAAUACAAUAAAAUAAACCCAGUCCCCUUGGCUUGUCACAGUCUGGGGAGCAGCGCGGCGUAGGCUGCGAAGCAGCUGCUUUAGCUAAUCGAAACAAUUAGUGGAAAAUCUCCUUACACCAUGCUGAACUCCGCACAAAGCAGCAGAAGGUGUCGGAUCGGUGGGUGGAUUUUACAUACGGGAUACCCCAAGAGUUAAUCACUCAUUUUACAAAUUGCUGAUAUAAAUUGCUGUUAAUUAGCUCUGUAAAUGCUUAUUGUGCUUGCUAAAUUAGAACCUGCUGGAAGGGC